CAAAGCCACUGAGUUCUACUCUCUGGGGAGCACUGCAAGGAUGUCAGGAGCUACUCUGGAUCUGGUGAGCAUCUUUGGGAUGGCAGAAUCCAAUUGUCAUGAUUUUUUUUUUUUUUUGAGUGGAAUUUGGAUUGGAGAUUCGUGUCAAGCAGUUAUUUUACAUCGAAUUUUGUAGUGUUUUUCUCUGGAAAGAGUAAAUCCUGCCUUAAGCAAAUUUAUAUAAAUCUUGGCUAUGUUUUUAUUGGGAAAGAUUUCCCAGUGUUCUUGGAGGAACUGGAAGACCUCACCUUGAGUGAAGUCUGUGGCCAAGCAAAAUACCUGUUGAAGGCACUGUUUCAGAGAGGACGAAAUAUGUGAUACAAUGCCACCACAUUUUCUUUGUCAAUAUCAACCUCUUUUCAUGUUCUCUCUUUCACUUAGGGGGUUUUAUGUCCCUGCAGUGAAAGACAUCCCUGACUAGUAGUGUUCUCCUCAUUUUUAUUCUUCUCUUAUUAUAAGGGUAUUUUUUCCAUUAUAUCUCAUUUUCAGAUUUGUGAUUUCACCUCCCCUCUCUCUUUCUUUUUAACAAACUGAAGUAUUAAGAAAGGGAGGGUCAUAGAUGAAUUCCUGAGAGCAGAGAUUUGAAGAUUUGAUUCCUAUAAUGCAGAGUACUUUCAUCUUCAAUUAAAAGGAAUAAUGAAUGAAUCUCUUUUAAACAGAAAUUCAAUCACCAAAUUAUUUCCUUUUACCUAUGCUACUGUGGUUCAAAAUUUUUAUACAGCACUGGAUCUAAUGGAAACUCUCCUCUGAAUGACUAGGAGCAGAGUCUUAGGAUACUGCAAUUUAAAAUUUAAAAAUCAUUUAAAAGUUUAAUUUAGACCUAAGACAUGGCUCAUGUAAAAUUUUCUGCUUCAUUUUAGAAGCUGCUAGUUAAUUAGGAAAAAGGUGAAGAACUUCAUGCACUACUGAAUCAUUUUUUCUGUAUCUUUUAAUGAAUUUUUAACAUCUAGUAUACAAAUAGGUAAUCAAGUAUUGCAUCACUCUAACCAAUACUCUAAGUUCAAGAAUCAGUCAAAAAUAAUUUCUUAUCUUUGUGAGCUUUAAGUCACAAAAAUAUAUAUAUUAAUUUUUUAAUCAACAGAGCAAAUGUGAGGGCAUGUGUGGAUAUAAACUAAGGCAAGUUGAGUGAACUAUAUUGCAAGUUAUAUAUUACUAUAUAUGCAAGUUGAGUGCAUCCUCAGAAAAAAGAAAAAAGUUUAACUGUAAUUUAAAAAAUUCAAUAUAAAACUUAAUCUACUAAUCCCUUUCUUUAAGGUCAUUGAGUUUUACAGAAACCACAAGGCUGUAGUUACGAUUAUAUUUUUAUAUAAAAUGCAUUAAAUAUUUACAAUAAAAUAGUUUAAGGUUGUAAGGGAGAUAUUAUUACUCAAUGAAGAUGCAUUUUAAGAAAAAUACAAAGAUACAUAUUGAUUUUUAAAUAGUGAUCAGUUUUGUGUGCCUUCACAAAGUGGAUAAAUAGUCUUUGAGUUUUAUUAUUUUUCUGUUAAAGUUGAACAUAACACAUAAAAAAAAAGAGAGACAAAAAUUAUAUGCAGUGACAUUUACUGUGUGGGUCACAGAAGAGUUUACUUCCUCAAAAUCUUCCAGAUCACUCUAAGUCUAACACCUAUUAAAUGACUCAGGAAUAUCAAAAAUACAAAUGGAAAUUAUGAAAGUGAGAUAUGUGUCAAAUUUAACAGUUAACAAAAACUGGGAGACAUUUUCUUAUUUAAUUUUCAGUCCUCAGCAAUAUGUAGCCGGACCAUCAGAAAUUUUAGUUGGUGAAACAGAACCAGUGCCUAAAUCCUAGCAAUCCAAAAAAGCUGAGGGUAGGAGAAGGCUUGCUGAUCUGGGGGCUUUUCCAGGCAGUUUAGUCUGGUCAUUGCUAUUUAUGGAUGGCUGAGUCCUGACUUGCUUCAGAAACUGAAGUUUUCUUAAAUUAUCUCAGACUCAUAAAACCAGUUGUGUAUAUAUUUAUAUAUACAUAUAUAAUUGUGAUGGCUAUGUGUUUGUGUAAAGGUGGUGAAGAACUGCCUUUGCUUACACUUCCCCUUAGCAGUUUUGUUAAACCUGCUCUGCAAAAGUGGAGCUACAAAGUCUCAGUUUCUGAGAAAUGGUGGCAUUGCACCUGUUUGCUUAAGCUUUAGCAUGCACUCAAUUGCCACAGAUUAAAUGUUGAGAUGGAUUUGAUAUCACAGUUUUUGUAGAAGCUGCAUAAAGAUGAUGGGUACAGAGCUGAAAUCUGGUCCAAACAAACUCUGUAGCAACUGAAGUCUGCCUUGGAUGCCUUCCACAGUUUGCUUUUCAUUCUACCAUCCCAGGGUACAGAGGAUUCCUCAGCACCAGCGCUUAGUUGAAUACUAAUAUUACCCUGGCAUCCUAUCUCAAAAAUAAUCAGCAGUUUAGUUCUGAAUCUUUUCUUCUGAGUAGUCUUUUUCCUGGAUUUGUGAUAAUCCAUCUGCCAGGCCCUAUUGUUUUGUUGUUUAUCUGAAAAAUCUGAUUUUCACAUCUUUAUGUACCACCUGGCUCACAGGAACAAAACUGAAUAUGAACUGCAACAAAGAAAAUAGAUUUAGGUUUUUCGUGAAAUUUUUUUAUUGUAGAUGAAGCUAUUCAGUUCCUUAGGGACUAACUGAAUGUUUCCUCUUGGCAUACACUUACCUUUUAUCGAGGCUGGGUUUUAAUCUAUUAUAAAUGCCUAUUCUUAUAUGUGCUGUUAAUAAAGUGUUUGAAGAGUACAUGAGGGAAGAGAAAAAAUGAGGAGCUAGUCUUUUCUUUACCUGUGUAAGCCUGAAUAUUUAUAAAUUCAAUGAAUCUAAAACAUUAUCAGUGUUAUGCUGGAAUAACUUCACAUCCAUAGAAUACUAAGGCAUAAAAAGAUGCUAACUAAAAAUUCUGCAUUAAGAAAAUUUCAAUGCAUUGUUAUGCAGUCAAAAAUCAGGAAAUUAUAGCAUUAAGAUUUUGUGUUUAACCAAAUGUGCUGCCUUCAUAUUGUCAUGACAAUACAAUCUUUAGAUUGUAAUAACAGACUGCAUUUAGUGCUGCUAUUAUAUCUUAUGGGCUCAUAUCUGACAGCCUAAUACACAUCUAGAAUAGAAAACAACUCUGUUUUGUUGGGUAUUUUUAAAAUUAUUUGACAUUUUCAUGUUUUGACUUGCAUACUCUGAGAGUUUUCAAAAUCCAGGGGAAAAAUCUGAGCAUAACAGAGAAGCCCCUCCCUGGCAAGGUUGGUUACCUGGCACUCUUCCUAUCAGCCCUUGACCAAAACUUACAUCAUGGAGCUAAAAGCAAAGUGUUGCAGUCACCUGUGCACUUCAGGUUAAAAAAAAGGUGCUCUUAGAAAAAUAUGUGAGAAAAGUUUUUCAGAAUUGUGUGUGCUGUUUAUGGAACCUGCUAUUAAAACUGUAGCAUUUACCAGAGUUAGCCACAAAAUAUCCAAUGUAACCACGGGUUCUGGCUGCACUUGGUAAUGAAAAUAUGGGUGAUAAAUUGUUGUUAAAAGUUUACUUAGAAAAAUAUUUACCUUAUCUUCUGAUUUUUAUGCUAGCAAAGGAUCUGCAGAGUUAUGCUGUGAUAAUGGUUGGGCAUUGCAUUUGGAGAUGACAGAUGUUUAAGGCAUUAUCAGUAUUUUGGACCAGUUCUUUUUUGUUACAUCUUCUGUCUCUUGUACUGUUCAAGGGGCAGUCAUGAACUGAAAAAUUUCUCCAAGUCACUUCUGCACAAUUUUGGCUCAGGACAAGAUGCUGUGUUUAAAUUGCAUUUAAACCCUGGCUGUUAGUGCUGUUCCACUGCUGUGCCAGCUCAGAGUCCUGGGCUUCUUUCCUUUCGUAUGCUACAUGAAUUUUACCUUCCAGGAAUUUUACUAGCCCCUGGAAUCAGCUACAUCCACCUGCUGAGAGUAGCUUUACCCAGCCACUAAGUGUCUAUCCAUGUGCACUCUAAGAUCCCAAUAUGCAGUGAGAACAUGCUACUAAAUAAAUAAACCUGGCUUGUUCUUUUGCACAGGCUCUAACUCUCUCUUUCACUGGGCACAGAUCAGAAGGAAGUCACUUAAAACCAGUGAAACCCAGACUCCCAAGUGAAAUGAAAUAGACUUGGCAUAAGUCUUGCAGAGUAAAAAAAUAUACCUUUUUACCAUGUACCCUUGAGGGCUGCAGUAAAUAUGUUCCAUUUAAUGUAGUGUCUUUAUGAGCUGAGAACAUAGCCUGCUGAUUUUUUUUUUCUUAUUAUUUAAGACUGUAUCAUAUCUGAACUUCUACUUCCAGUAAGAUCUGCUAUGAUUACUCUGGGGAUGUGAAAGCCAAAGCAUAGGCUUUAUCACAGGGUUGUUUUAAAUAAAUAUUUAGUUUGAUUUGGUGGUUUUCUUUAGCCUAACUAUCACCACCUGUUUAGCAUCUUCUCCCAUAAUAAACCAAUUAGUCCUAAGAAGUUAGUGAGGGGGAUGCUGAGUUUUGGGGCAGACUGGUAAAAAUUGCUGGGGAAGGGAGAAAUUCCUGCUCAUGGGAGAAAAGUAGGAUCUUCAUUCUUGUUUGGCAAACACAAUGAAAACCUGGUGAGUCUAUUGGGACAUACUUCCCACACCAGUGGCAUUUUCCUAUCUUGUGUUGACACAAACAGAGGAAGUAACAAGGUCUACCUGAUUUGCAUGGGAUGACCAGGCAGUAUUGGUAAGCAGAAGUGGAACACAAUUAAAAGUGCUCUUCUCAUAGGGGGUUUAUUUGGCAGACUUUCUGCCUCUCCACCUUACUCCAACUCAUUUCAUUUCCUUUGACCUUGUCUUAACUUCUGGUUUCUGCCAGUCUUGCUCUCCUGUGUCUGUUCUUCCUUCCCAGAUGAACAAUCAGCCAGUGAAUCCUCUCUCAAGGAGGGCCUGCAAUUGAGGAGCUGAGGUGUGCAGGAAGCAGCCUGUUGUCCGGAUCACUCUGUGAUGGGAAGGGUCUAACAACUGAGAGGGCAGCAGUUGUGGACUGAGAACCAAGUAACUCUUUCCAGAACAAAGGAGACAUGUCUUAAAGUACCUGGAAAGCUGUGAGUAAAGAGGAAAACUGACGCAUGGAGAAGGCUGUUGGACAUAACUAUCCUCAUCAUGGUGAAAAUAUCAUAUUUCCAACCAACCUACAUGCUUCCAUCUUAGAGAAGGGUUGCUGGACGUGUCAUGUCAAUCUAUGGAAAGCCUGUUAUUUUCUGCCAGAAUAGUAAGGGGACUCCUGCAUGGUAAAGUACAACCAAAAAGAAGACCUGGAAAUCUGAAAAUAUGCAGAAUAACAAUCCAGCAAAGAAUGAAAGAAUCUUAGCAAAUCUAAAUGAUUUCCUGAGCUGUUUGAUGACCAUGUUAAUAUUAUUUCAUCAAGAGUUCUGUCUCCCACUUGCUAAAGGAUCCAUACACCUGGUGAAUUCCAACCUGCUGAAUUUCAUGGUGAAACAGCUUAUGGGGGAUAGUGAUGUAUGAAUAUCUCUCGGAAAGGGUGCAACACCUUCCCAAGACAAGCAGAUUCCUGUUGGAAGCACAACUGUAUUUCCUUCCACUUAGCCUGAUUCACUGCUGCAAACCCACCUUCCCAGAUCCUGCACUGGACAACAACCUUGCCACAAUGACUACCAGAGCAAACCAGCAGGAUAAUGCUUGGAAGCCCUCCAAUUAUAGCUGACAUAUUCAGGGGUUCCCGAUUUCCUUCCACAGAUUUUGGAGCCUGACAGCCACCAUGGCUCCAACCUGAGCAACCCUUGGCACUUCAGGGAGCUUCCUCAGCUGCUUGCCACAGGUUGGGAGCUUCUCAGAGUGCCCCAAGGAAGCAGGGCAGAGCCAGGAGUCAGAAGUUAUGACACCUCUUUCAUUUAGGAAAACUUAAACCAUGUUUGCCCAUUUUCCUUUGAGUGGAAAAUUUUGAAAUGUCGCUUUUUGUUCCAAUUCAGUACAAAAACAUACUGGAAUUCAUGUCUCCUCAAGCACAGCUCCCCAUCAUAAAACUUCUGAGUCUCAACUAGUUCUUCUGUCUUCAAUGCCUUUGAAACUCACCCCCUGAGCUCUCUCUGAUGAAAUCAUAAAAGCAAAUGCGUGCUUCUACUUCAUAUUCAGUCAAAUACCAGAUGUUUAAAUAUUCUCAUCAUAUUCAACACACAAAUAUCUGUUCAAAAGUUUUGUUUCACAAUAUUGUGGGAAUUACUCUCCUCCAUACAAAUGCUAAUAUUAGAAUGCUAGAGAGACAAUUCAUGCAUAAAUAAGAGCAUUUAUGGCUAUUCAUUGUUACUUGCUGUUCAUUUAGGUGUUGGUGAGUAAGGUAAGAGCGACUGGCAUAGUCUGCCUUGACAUGUGCAGAGUGUUUGACAUUGUUCUGCACAACACCCUUGUCUCUAAACUGGAAACACAGAUUUGGUGGAUGGAUCACUGCUGGUGGGUAAGGAAUUGGCUGGGCAGUCACACCCACAGUGUGACCCCACCUUGAGUAUUGCACCCAAGCCUGGGGUCCCCAGCAUAAGGGAGAUGUGGAUCAGCUGAACCAAAUGCAGAGGAGGCCAGGAAAAUGCUCAGAGGGCUGCAGCUCCUCUCCUUUGAAAACAGGGUGAGAGAGUUGGGGUUGCUCAGGCUGGAGAAGAUGCGGCUCUGGGGACAUCUUACAGCACCUUAAAGUACAUAAAGGGAACCUACAAAAAUGUUAGAGUGGGACUUUUCUCAAGGAGAGAAUAGGGGAUAAUGGCCUUAAACUGAAAAAUGGUAGGGUUAGAUUAGAUUCUUUAUUGUGAGGGUGGUGACACCUUGGCACAGGCUUUCCACAGAAACCGUGGAUGCCCCAGCUCCGGAAUUGUUCAGGGCCAGGCUGGAUGGGGCACUGUAACCUGGUCUAGGGGGACCUACUUUUCAUGUCUUAACCAAUCCAAACCAGCCUAUCAUUAUUCUUCUUGUAAAACAAUUAUAUCAAGCAAAUAAUAGCCCAUGAUUUCUGUGACCAACAAACACUACACAAAAAGAACAGGGAAUGAAACCAAUGUAAGCAACAAUCUGGGAACUUAUUUCCCAAAACUGAUCUGUAAACAGUUAAACAGCAAAGUUCCAAAAAGAGAAAAAUAGUGAAAGCUGUCUUCUAAACACACUACUGGCAUUUCUUCAGCCACCUUGGUAAGAAGAGCAUCCAGCACAAAGGAAUUACCUCUGCCACCUCUUCCCACUACCAGGGCGUGCCCUGCUGCCUCAGCUGAGGAGGGGCUUUUCCACAGCUGCCUCUGGUCUACCACCACUGCUGGCUUGUGGGAGCUGCAGGACUGCUGAGGAACAUGCCAUUUGUGCUGGAAAGCAUCCUAAAGCUUUUGAAAUCCCAGCUGCCACAGGCUGCUCUUGGGAAAACAGGAUCCAUAACAUCUUGGUGCAAAACUGUAUCACUGCAAAGUAACACAAAAGGGUUUUGUGCCAUGGUAAUCGGAUCCCAUCUACAGCAUUCACUUUAAGACAAAUAGGAAGUGAUGAAUGAGACUCAAAUUCUUUUUGGUAUGCAGAUUUUGUUAAGACCAGAGACAUGGUUAAGGAAUGCAGUGGCCAUACUUUCUUUUCCUAUGAGCUGUUCUGAGUGGUUCUCUACAGUAUUUCUUUAGCAAUGAACUUAGAGCUGCUAUUUGUUCUGGGAAAUUGGGUCACACGUACUAAGGAGAUGACAGAAGCCAGGUAAGGUGCAGUAUCCUCUACGUGAGCAUCACCCAAGAGUGACAUCCCGAGAGGAAUAUGGCCAUGACAUCUCUGGCCACUCUGCUCCACUUCACUAACAUCC